GAGUCGUAACAAGGUUUCCGUAGGUGAACCUGCGGAAGGAUCAUUAUCGAGAGAGGGGCUUCGCGCUCCCGGGGGUUUCGGCCCCCAACUCUUCACCCAUUGUCAACUUACCCUUGUUGCUUUGGCUGGAUUCCGGGGUAUGGUCUUGCGUAGGUUUGUCAUGAAACCCGUUGCAGACGAUGUGCCCCGGUCGCCCCGCCGGGGGCCCAGCUUAAAAUUCAUGUUUAUUCGUGUGUCCGAGUAAAAAACCAAUAAUAAAA
rnacentral:misc_RNA from 1 species